UCGGGAAUUUUGGGCAAUGGGCGAAAGCCUGACCCAGCAACGCCGCGUGAGGGAUGAAGUAUUUCGGUAUGUAAACCUCGAAAGAAUGGGAAGAAUAAAUGACGGUACCAUUUAUAAGCUCCGGCUAACUACGUGCCAGCAGCCGCGGUAAUACGUAGGGAGCAAGCGUUGUUCGGAUUUACUGGGUGUAAAGGGUGCGCAGGCGGAUGGGUAAGUCAGGGGUGAAAGUCUGCAGCUUAACUGUAGAAUUGCCUUUGAUACUGCUCAUCUUGAGUGUGGGGGAGCUUGAUGGAAUUCCGGGUGUAGCAGUGAAAUGCGUAGAUAGCUGGAAGAACACCAGUGGCGAAGGCGGUCAACUGGCCCAUAACUGACGCUCAUGCACGAAAGCGUGGGG
rnacentral:rRNA from 1 species